rnacentral:rRNA from 1 species
AGAACGAACGCUGGCGGCAAGCUUAACACAUGCAAGUCGAACGCUCGUAGCAAUACGGGAGUGGCAGACGGGUGAGUAACGCGUGGGAACAUACCCUCCGGUUCGGAAUAGCUCAGGGAAACUUGGAUUAAUACCGGAUACGGCUGAGAGGCGAAAGAUUUAUCGCCGGAGGAUUGGCCCGCGUUCGAUUAGCUAGUUGGUGAGGUAACGGCUCACCAAGGCGAUGAUCGAUAGCUGGUCUGAGAGGACGACCAGCCACAUCGGGACUGAGACACUGCCCGGACUCCUACGGGGGGCUGCAGUAACGAAUCUUCCACAAUGCACGAAAGUGUGAUGGAGCGACGCCGCGUGUAGGAUGAAGUUCUUCGGAAUGUAAACUACUGUCAGGGGUAAGAAGUUCUGAUCUACCCCAGAGGAAGAGGCGGCUAACUCUGUGCCAGCAGCCGC